UUAAACAGACGUAAUGGUGUAGAUGCCUACACAUGGGAUUGUAUCGCACGAGAUUGCCAUUAUUUAGGCAUUAAAAAUAAUUUUGACCCUCAACGGUACAUGAAAUUUGCCCGAGUGAUAGACGUUGAUGGAGAAAUGCAGAUAUGCAUGAGAGACAAGGAAAUCCCAACACUUUACAGUAUGUUUUAUUCACGCUACAUGCUGCAAAAAUUUGCCUAUCAUCAUAAAAAAACAGCCAUUUUGCAAUUGAUGAUCAAUGAAACAUUUCAAAGAGCUAAGAAAAUUCUUAAAAUUGG